AGUCAUAGUCCUCAGUGGUAUACGCACUUGUGCAUUGAUCUUACUCAGGCAAAUAAUCUCUCACCAUGCUCAUUCAGUUCACAGGGCCUCCUCCCUUUCUCUGUCUCUGCAAGCCUCCUUGGUUAAGAAGCCUGGUAGGACCAGGCAUGGCGGUGCAAGCUUGAAACCCCAGUCCUCUGGAGGAUUGCAAAGUCGGAAAGUGCCUGCUCCCAUUGUCCCCUGAUGGGAAGAGAAAAAUCAGCCACUGAUUGUGAGAGUGGCCUCUCUUACUACCCAGCAAGACUUUCCUGAGCAUUUCACAUCCUAGCAGACCCAAGGACAAACAGAUCUCAGCAUCACAGACUGUCGCCUUAGAAGGGCUUCCAUCCAGGAGGAGGGGACCAAAAGCCCAAUGAAGUUCAUGCCCGUUUGUGGGAAAAGAUCCAAGAAUAAUGGAUUGUGGUAGAGGCAACCGGAAGGUGGCAGCCAUUUUGGAAAAGUUGUCUCCGAAGAAGGAAGUGAAAACAGAGUUGAGACCUGAGGAGGAAUUCCGGGAGGCUGUCUGGAGGAGCUGCCUCAAAGCCACAGUGGCAGGGACAGGAAGGGAACAGUGCCCAGGAAGGAAGCGCUUUGUAAAUGUCUAUAUAUUGCAAGAAUAAAAGAUUAUUUCUAAA